rnacentral:rRNA from 1 species
AACGACUCUCGGCAACGGAUAUCUCGGCUCUCGCAUCGAUGAAGAACGCAGCGAAAUGCGAUACUUGGUGUGAAUUGCAGGAUCCCGCGAACCAUCGAGUCUUUGAACGCAAGUUGCGCCCGAAGCCUUCCGGCCGAGGGCACGCCUGCCUGGGUG